CCAAUUCCUACGCUGGCAAGCACAGUGCAUGUGUCUGUAUCAACCCUUUCCCAGCUCUAAUUCAAACCAUUUCACCAAGACAGACACCAGAAAACUGUUGGAACAGGAACAAAUAGAAGUCAUGGUGAUUUAAAGAUACACGAUCUAGAAAAUUACAUCACAAAACUUAUUUAGCAUUGAGGCUUUGUCUGGGAGGAAAUGCUGCCAACGCCUGCUACAGCGUCAGAAGCAACCUGAGAGAACGAGCCCUCCGGAGAUGGCGAGAUGCGGACUGCUGGUUCCCCUCGCUGACCGAGUCAGCUCAUCACCCAGACACGAUGUGGUUUGUGCCAGUUCCUCCCUCCCAGGAGACAUCCCGCAUCACACAACAUUUCACUCAGCUGUGUGGCUGAGCGCUGACAAACUCAAUUUGUGGAAGGUGAGCGCAAGUUGACACCAUGCUGUGGCAGUUGUCCUGAUGGGAGCCAAGGACUCAUUUCAUUCCAAGGUGGAACCCACCUUCUCCGGAAACAAGCUUGUGCACACGAGUGUAGCGGACAAGGACGGAAGACUGACACAAAGUCGAAGAACUUCUGGAGUUGGAGAGAGCAGGGAGGGAUGGGAGGAGAAGCGGACAAAGAGAAUUAAGAUAUGUUGUGUAUGUGUACAAACUUCCCCACAAUAAAUAUAAUCCUCAUGUAUGGC
ensembl:lncRNA